UGGGGAAUAUUGGGCAAUGGAGGCAACUCUGACCCAGCAACGCCGCGUGAGCGAUGAAGGUCUUCGGAUUGUAAAGCUCUUUAAGCGGGGACGAAGAAAGUGACUGUACCCGCAGAAUAAGCCUCGGCUAACUACGUGCCAGCAGCCGCGGUAAUACGUAGGAGGCAAGCGUUAUCCGGAAUGACUGGGCGUAAAGGGUGCGUAGGUGGCUCGGCAAGUUGGUAGCGUAAUCCCGAGGCUCAACCUCGGUGCUACUACCAAAACUGUUGAACUUGAGUGCAGGAGGGGUGAAUGGAAUUCCCAGUGUAGCGGUGGAAUGCGUAGAUAUUGGGAAGAACACCAGCGGCGAAGGCGAUUCACUGGACUGUAACUGACACUGAGGCACGAAAGCGUGGGGAGCAAACAGGAUUAGAUACC
rnacentral:rRNA from 1 species